GCUAAAUCCUAUCAGAGGAGUUCAGCUACCCUCUCUGGAGGCUUCCCUGUUUCUGGGGGCAGUUUAGGAUCUUCUCCCAGGUGGGCGGCUCCUAUUUCCAUCAUUUUCUUCUCAGGGGAAGAUGCAACUCCUGUCCCGAUCCCCCUCCUCCCUCUGGCACAAUGAUAGUCACCCUAUAUAACAACUUCUCACUCAUAAAUGAAACGAUGAGGGUUAAAAAAUGAAAGGUUUUUAUUUGGAUCAAAUUUCUCAUUUACUAGAUAGACUAUAAUUGAAUUUUUAUUUCAUCUCACAGGCAGGAGUCCUUUAUGAAGGUUAUUCCUUUAUUCCAUUUAUUAUGGAUUUUUAAAAACUGCUGUUUCCCAGUCAGAAAAUGUGACUUGGGCCAUUUUAUACUCUUGGGAACAUACGGAGAUUUUCCUGGCAGCAUAUGCUAUCAUCUGCUUUUGAAUCCUUGAUUUGAUCUAUCUCAUAGUCAGCUGAAAAAACAUCUUACAGCAGUUUCCGGGAAGAAUAAGAAAGUGUCGUGCUUUCUAAACCACCAAAUUUCUGCAAGUGUCUUUUUACGGCUUCAUAGAUGAACGACAAUUUAGCUGAACAUCGAAUUCUUGGGUCAUCACCCUUCUUCAUUUAAACGUCUAGAGAUGGUGGUUCUGCUUUGGAGUGAAACCUGAGGUGAGUGGAUGUUUCUUCCUUUGUAGGUACUCUGUUCUUCUGUUGAAAUGCUUGCAGGAAUUUUUUUUUAAGUCCUCUAAAUCAUAUCAUGUUCUUUUAUUUUUUUAAAGCACCCAAGGACACCUCAGAGGAGGGGAGACACCUCGUGGAGAGAUGAGGGAGGUGCGGAUGGAAACUGGCUUCUGGGGAGGGUUCUCCAUGGAGAUACAGAGAGGACUGUGCUUUCCAUGGCUAAACCUCUGCAAAGAGAAAAGGGGAAGGGAAACAUCACCCAGCCUCUUGCAAGGCUCAACUCAAAAUGUGCUGGAUCGAAAAACUGAGAACAUCUGGCAUAGAGCUUCUCCUUGACUUUUUUCCUUUUCUUUUUAUAAGAGCUUUAUUGAGGUAUAAUUGAUGUAAAAUAAACUGCACUAUUUCAAUAUGUACAAUUAUAUAUUUAAAUAAAUUUGAUGAGUUUAGAUGUAUGCAAACACCCACAACACCAUCAAAACAAUCCGGAUAAUAGAUCCAACACCUCCCAGAAUUCCCUUGUGUCCUUUGGUUUUGUUUUUUGUGUUUUUGUGGUAAGAUCUACUCUCUUAACAAAUUUUGAAGUGAGCAGUACUGUAUUGUUGACUCUAGGCACAACGUAAUAGCCAAUCUCUGGAAUGUAUGCAUUGAACUUAACUGAAAUUUAAUACUCACUGCACAACAACUUCCC
rnacentral:lncRNA from 9 species